GGUUUUAUCUACUGAUUGCCUCUUCGUAUACGAUGAAAUCUCUAGUGCUAGCCAUUUGUAAUUUAGGAAAGCAAGUACAACUAGUGAGACUUUCUUAUACAUGCUUUAGCUUAUUGGACUAACUCAAGACUUCUUACUUUUCUUGCUAAUGAAAAAAACAAGAUGCAUUCAUGGUCGCAUGGUGUGUGCAAACAUUUUCAAAUAGCAUGCAUUCAUGGUUCGUGCCAAGAAUGAUGUCAAGUCAUAUUCUUCUUAUCAGAAAUUUCGAAUCAUUAGCUGAAAAAACAAAGUCGUGUAUCUCACAUUCCCACAUGAAAAGCAAAGGAAACUUAACAUAAACCUCAUAUGCAGCAUCAUCAGAACUAGCAAAAUUUGAGAAAUUACCUUUUGGAUUGCUACUGCUCUGUUCUUCAAUUUCCAUUCUUAGUUUCACAUUAAUGGAUAGUUAAGUCUAUUCAAACCUGAUAUACAAUGGAUUAAAAGUAAGACUAACAAAUUAGAGCAUAACAAGCAAUACUACAAACACUUGGUGGGUGAAAUCAAAUAUCAAAUCAUUAAGUAAUUUUGUUAUGUAGAUCAAUUCAUCUCAGCUCAUGUUACAAUCAUAAAAUUAAUCAAUUCAAACUCAUAGGAGAACAGAUGCACAACAACCACAAUCUACAGGCAAGAUUCAGCAAAGAAGAGGCACAAAAAAGACACCAAUUUCAUUGAGAAAACACAAGCAUGAAGAAGUAUAAAACCCCCAAAUUUACACAUAAAAAAUUUUUGAGAACAAAAAAACUAUGAUAACAAAUAAUGUUGAAAAAAUCAAGAAAAACUUCACACUUCGUGCCCUCAUCAGAAGAGGGGAUGCGCUGCAGAGAGAAGGGGCGAAUGAGAGAGAGAGAUGAGAGCAGAUUGUUAAUUCUCUCUCUUACGAAUGUGGAUUUCUUUAUUUNUUUUUAAUUGUUUUUAAAUCAUGUGAGUUUCUUUAUUUUAACAUAAAUAAAUGUCUUGUUCACAAAAAUAAUCUUUUAUACGAG
rnacentral:lncRNA from 1 species